GGUCAGGGAGGCUGACAGUAAGUAAAGAAAGAGAAAAGAAAGGUAUUUUCAGACGAUGGUAAGUGCUGUUGCAGACAACGAAACAGAUGAUGUGGGACAAUGUCUGGGAGCUUCUUCAGGUAAGAUGGCCAGGAAGACAUGACUGGGAAGGUGAUACCAGCAAUGAGCGCUACAAAUGAGGUGGUCUCUGUUUAUCCUCCUUCCUGAAUCACUCUCCUAAAAACCAAGACUGGUUCUCUGGAUUCCUCAGAGUUGUUGUCCUAAUUCCCUUCACCGUCAAGUUUCUGGAAGGAGGAGUUGAACUGGUUUACCCUCUACGUUGACAAGGUGCUUGCCUAAUUGCUGACUCCUGGACCUACAGCGCAGACGGACUGCAAGUGUCCACUCAGACCCCCCAACAAAUUCAACGUCACACAGCCUGAUGGACCUUCAUCUUGGGUGCCAACAUCUACCCAGUUUCUCAAGUCAUCCUUGAUGUUCUCCUUCUUGUCUGCGAUGAAUGUCUUUCAGUUCUGCCUCCCUGACGCGCCUAGCUUCUCUUUCCGACAUUCCACACCAUCCACAGAGCUUCAGUUCACACUCUGGUCAUCGCUCUCCCAGACUCCGCCAGAACCUUCCGACCUGUCUCUGUACUUCCAAGUGUGUCCAAACCCCCCUUACAUCUUCCCUGAGGCAGAUAUGGAAGGUGUUAUACCCCCAAACUGUUAAGCAUAUGUCCAUUCUGCUUAAAAUGCUAUGCUUCAAGAGCUCUCUUUGCCUCUAAGAUAAAGUUCAAACCCUACUGUGUGACUAUAAAGCAUCUCAUGACCUGGCACCUGUCUGUCUCCCAGACUCAUCCCCCAUUCUCCCUCUUCCUCCAAGCCUGAAAUCUGAGCAGCGGUUAUAAAUGUCACAAGGGUGGAAAUCAUGUCUACCUUCUUUAUCCUCAUAACCCUAACAUCUACAAGAAUUUCUAGACCUCAUAGGUCAACACACCUGUUUGCAGAAAGAAUGAAUUCUGCUUGGCUUCUAUGUGUGUUAAGGUUGACAAAUGCAGGAUCCCCUAUGAGAAGGUCCGUGGUGGCUUAGUGCUGCCUGAGCCCAGAGGAGAGAUUAGCACAUCAUAUUAAAUUGAAGCCAUGGAAAACAAUGAACAUUUGACAUGAAAAGUAGAAAGUACCAAUGACAGAAGCCUGAGGGACACCAGCAUGUAGAAGGAGAACAGAGAAAGCAGAAAGAGCAACCAUGAAGCUAAGGAAAAAACUGGAGUUUGGAGUUAUAAACACUGAGGAGAGAGGAAAGAUUUCAAAAAGUUUGGAUGAAAUGAAAUCAGCAAGUUAGCUGGGAGUUUAAUGAAGAUAAAAGUUGAGACGUGCGUGCAGGACUUGGUGACAAUGAGAUCACUGGUUUUUUAGAGUUGUUGGGAAUAAACAGAUGAUAUGUAAAGGACUGACUACUAAGUGAGGAAGAGGAGACAGCCAUGGUGCACAAGAGUUUCAAGAUAUUUGGUUUUGAACAGGCAGUCAAGACAGGAUGGUAACUGGAAACAGGUGUGGGGAGGAGGAAGGGUUUCCUUUAGAAAGAAUGAAAGCAGAGUAUGUUAAGUACCGAUGGAAGCAGACACAGAGAAAGGACAGAACAAUGAACAGAAUGAAAUCACAGAGAAUGUGGAAAGGGACAGUACCAGGAAAGAAGUGAAGAGACUAACUAUA